AGCUCCAAUAGCGUAUGUUAAAGUUGCUGCGUCAAAAAAGCUCGUAGUUGGAUUUCUGUUGAGAAUGGUCGGUCCGCUUUACGAGCGUGUAUCUGAUUCAGUCUCGGCAUCCUCUUGAGGAACGUUGCUGCGCUUCACUGCGUGGCGCGGUAUUCAAGACUUUUACUUUGAGGAAAUUAGAGUGUUCACGGCAGGCAAUCGCCCUGAAUAUAUUAGCAUGGAAUAAUAAUAUAGGACCUUGGCCCUAUUUUGUUGGUUUCUAGGACUAAGGUAAUGAUUAAUAGGGAUAGUUGGGGGGCACUUGUAUCAAGGCGUCAGAGGUGGAAUUCUUGGAUUGCCUUGCGACAAACUACUGCGAAAGC
rnacentral:rRNA from 1 species